CGUGGUCAACCUUCCCUACAGUGGGGGAUAACUAGCCGAAAGGUUAGCUAAUACCGCAUGAGAUCUUCGAGUGGCAUCAUUUGAAGAUGAAAGGAGCAAUCCGCUGAAGGACGGGACCGCGUCCCAUUAGCUAGAUGGUGGGGUAAUGGCCUACCAUGGCAACGAUGGGUAGCUGGUUUGAGAGAGCGACCAGCCACACUGGGACUGAGACACGGCCCAG
rnacentral:rRNA from 1 species